rnacentral:lncRNA from 1 species
CGAGAAAACCCAAUGUUCGAGGUUGUUAAUGGUCCAAUUAGACUUCACCUUAAGUUAUAAAGUUAUUACCCCUGUCAUGUUGUUCUUUUAAUAUAAGUACUGACCAGCGGUUUGAAGUUUUCCAAUUUUCGAAAUUUACUCAAGACACCACCAACGACAACAGCACCGAGUGUCAGUGAUCUGUUUUAAAGUUCAGUAUUGGGACAAGUUGGUAAUCUAUACAUUGUGUUCUCUCAAAUAGGUACUUAGGCUACACGUGCCCCAUAGGAACGACCUUUUCAGGAUUGAUCAAUGUUGGACUUUUCGUGAAUGGACAUUUUUU